rnacentral:rRNA from 1 species
CACGUAGGGUGCAAGCGUUAAUCGGAAUUACUGGGCGUAAAGCGUGCGCAGGCGGUUAUGCAAGACAGAUGUGAAAUCCCCGGGCUCAACCUGGGAACUGCAUUUGUGACUGCAUGGCUAGAGUACGGUAGAGGGGGAUGGAAUUCCGCGUGUAGCAGUGAAAUGCGUAGAUAUGCGGAGGAACACCGAUGGCGAAGGCAAUCCCCUGGACCUGUACUGACGCUCAUGCACGAAAGCGUGGGGAGCAAACAGG